AGUGAACGCUGGCGGUAGGCCUAACACAUGCAAGUCGAACGGCAGCACAGUAAGAGCUUGCUCUUACGGGUGGCGAGUGGCGGACGGGUGAGGAAUACAUCGGAAUCUACUUUUUCGUGGGGGAUAACGUAGGGAAACUUACGCUAAUACCGCAUACGACCUACGGGUGAAAGCAGGGGAUCUUCGGACCUUGCGCGAUUGAAUGAGCCGAUGUCGGAUUAGCUAGUUGGCGGGGUAAAGGCCCACCAAGGCGACGAUCCGUAGCUGGCCUGAGAGGAUGAUCAGCCACACUGGAACUGAGACACGGUCCAGACUCCUACGGGAGGCAGCAGUGGGGAAUAUUGAACAAUGGGCGCAAGCCUGAUCCAGCCAUACCGCGUGGGUGAAGAAGGCCUUCGGGUUGUAAAGCCCUUUUGUUGGGAAAGAAAAGCAGCAGGUUAAUACCCCGCUGUUCUGACGGUACCCAAAGAAUAAGCACCGGCUAACUUCGUG
rnacentral:rRNA from 1 species